UCGUCACACUAUCAUUAACUGAAUCCAUAGGUUAAUGAGGCGAACCGGGGGAACUGAAACAUCUAAGUACCCCGAGGAAAAGAAAUCAACCGAGAUUCCCCCAGUAGCGGCGAGCGAACGGGGAGGAGCCCAGAGCCUGAAUCAGCAUGUGUGUUAGUGGAAGCGUCUGGAAAGGCGCGCGAUACAGGGUGACAGCCCCGUACACAAAAGCGCAUGUGCUGUGAGCUCGAUGAGUAGGGCGGGACACGUGGUAUCCUGUCUGAAUAUGGGGGGACCAUCCUCCAAGGCUAAAUACUCCUGACUGACCGAUAGUGAACCAGUACCGUGAGGGAAAGGCGAAAAGAACCCCGGCGAGGGGAGUGAAAAAGAACCUGAAACCGUGUACGUACAAGCAGUGGGAGCACCCUUUGGGUGUGACUGCGUACCUUUUGUAUAAUGGGUCAGCGACUUAUAUUCUGUAGCAAGGUUAACCGAAUAGGGGAGCCGGAGGGAAACCGAGUCUUAACCGGGCGUUAAGUUGCAGGGUAUAGACCCGAAACCCGGUGAUCUAGCCAUGGGCAGGUUGAAGGUUGGGUAACACUAACUGGAGGACCGAACCGACUAAUGUUGAAAAAUUAGCGGAUGACCUGUGGCUGGGGGUGAAAGGCCAAUCAAACCGGGAGAUAGCUGGUUCUCCCCGAAAGCUAUUUAGGUAGCGCCUCGUGAAUUCAUCUCCGGGGGUAGAGCACUGUUUCGGCUAGGGGGCCAUCCCGGCUUACCAACCCGAUGCAAACUGCGAAUACCGGAGAAUGUUAUCACGGGAGACACACGGCGGGUGCUAACGUCCGUCGUGAAGAGGGAAACAACCCAGACCGCCAGCUAAGGUCCCAAAGUCAUGGUUAAGUGGGAAACGAUGUGGGAAGGCCCAGACAGCCAGGAUGUUGGCUUAGAAGCAGCCAUCAUUUAAAGAAAGCGUAAUAGCUCACUGGUCGAGUCGGCCUGCGCGGAAGAUGUAACGGGGCUAAACCAUGCACCGAAGCUGCGGCAGCGACACUGUG
rnacentral:rRNA from 1 species